ACGGCUCAGUAACACGUGGACAAUCUACCCUAUGGAGGGGGAUAACCCCGGGAAACUGGGGAUAAUACCCCAUAGACUAUAGAUGCUGGAAUGCUUUGUAGUUAAAAGGUCAGCCGCCAUAGGAUGGGUCUGCGGCCGAUUAGGUUGUUGUUGGGGUAACGGCCCAACAAGCCUGUAAUCGGUACGGGUUGUGGGAGCAAGAGCCCGGAGAUGGAUUCUGAGACACGAAUCCAGGCCCUACGGGGCGCAGCAGGCGCGAAAACUUUACAAUGCGGGAAACCGUGAUAAGGGAACUCCGAGUGCCCGUAAAAUCGGGCUGUCCAUCUGUGUAAAUAACAGGUGAAGAAAGGGCCGGGCAAGACCGGUGCCAGCCGCCGCGGUAAUACCGGCGGCUCGAGUGGUGGCCACUAUUACUGGGCUUAAAGCGUUCGUAGCUGGUCUGUUAAGUCUCUGGGGAAAUCUACUGGCUUAACCAAUAGGCGUCUCAGGGAUACUGGCAGACUAGGGACCGGGAGAGGUGAGAGGUACUCCAGGGGUAGGAGUGAAAUCCUGUAAUCCUUGGGGGUCCACCUGUGGCGAAGGCGUCUCACCAGAACGGCUCCGACAGUGAGGGACGAAAGCUGGGGGAGCAAACCGGAUUAGAUACCCGGGUAGUCCCAGCCGUAAACGAUGCGCGUUAGGUGUAUCGGUGAUCACGAGUCACCGAGGUGCCGAAGAGAAAUCGUGAAACGUGCCGCCUGGGAAGUACGGUCGCAAGGCUGAAACUUAAAGGAAUUGGCGGGGGAGCAC
rnacentral:rRNA from 1 species